UACGUAGGUGGCAAGCGUUGUCCGGAUUUAUUGGGUUUAAAGGGUGCGUAGGUGGUCUAUUAAGUCAGUGCUGAAAUAUCCCGGCUUAACCGGGAGGGUGGCAUUGAUACUGAUGGACUUGAGUAAAGUUGAGGUGGGCGGAAUUGACGGUGUAGCGGUGAAAUGCUUAGAUAUCGUCAAGAACACCUAUUGCGAAGGCAGCUCACUAAGCUUUAACUGACACUGAGGCACGAAAGCUAGGGGAGCAAAUGGG
rnacentral:rRNA from 1 species